AUGAGGAUCCUAAGCUGGAACUGUCGGGGCUUGGGCCACCCCGGUACAGUUCGUGAGCUUGUGUGCCUAGUGCACACGCACUGCCCCUCUGUCGUGUUCAUCUCGGAGACGUGGCGGUGCAAGGAGAGUGUCAAAAAAAUAAAGUGGAGGCUAGGCCUCAAGCAUUGUAUCACCCACGAUGGAGUGGGGAAGGGUGUCGGCAUCGCCCUAUUUUGGGAUGAUAGCAUUGAAUGGCGGGGUACCUUCGUGUAUGGUGAGCCUAAAGCAAAUGAUUGACAUAACAUGUGGAGCUUUAUAGUAAAAAAACAUGUGGAGCUUGCUGAAAAGAAUCAAACCGAGGUCUGA
rnacentral:rRNA from 1 species